rnacentral:misc_RNA from 1 species
GAUGAAGAACGCAGCGAAAUGCGAUAAGUAGUGUGAAUUGCAGAAUUCAGUGAAUCAUCGAAUCUUUGAACGCACAUUGCGCCCUUUGGUAUUCCAAAGGGCAUGCCUGUUCGAGCGUCAUUUGUACCCUCAAGCUUUGCUUGGUGUUGGGCGUCUUGUCUCUAGCUUUGCUGGAGACUCGCCUUAAAGUAAUUGGCAGCCGGCCUACUGGUUUCGGAGCGCAGCACAGGUCGCACUCUCUAUCAGCAAAGGUCUAGCAUCCAUUAAGCCUUUUUUUCAACUUUUGACCUCGGAUCAGGUAGGGAUACCCGCUGAACUUAAGCAUAUCAAUAAGCGGAGGA